CAAAGGCUUGGUCCUAACUUUACUAACAGCUUUAGCCAGACUUACACAUGCAAGUAUCCGCACCCCAGUGAGAAUGCCCUAACAGUCUUCUAAUAGGAGGCAAGGAGCUGGUAUCAGGCACACCAUCAAUUAGCCCACGACAUCUUGCUCAGCCACACCCCCAAGGGUAAUCAGCAGUGAUAGACAUUAAGCCAUAAGUGAAAACUUGACUUAGUUAAGGCUAACAGGGUUGGUAGAACUCGUGCCAGCCACCGCGGUUAGACGAGUAACCCAAGUUGUUAAACCACGGCGUAAAGAGUGGUUAAGAGAUAUUUUAUACUAAAGCCGAAUACUUACAGAGCUGUUAUACGUUCCCGAAAGUAAGAAGCCCAAUCACGAAAGUGGCUUUAUAUCUUCUGAACCCACGUAAGCUAGGGCACAAACUGGGAUUAGGUACCCCAUUAUGCUUAGCUGUUAACAUUGACAGUUUAUCACACCCACUGUCCGCCUGGGAACUACGAGCAAUAGCUUAAAACCCAAAGGACUUGGCGGUGCUUUAGAUCCACCUAGAGGAGCCUGUCCUAGAACCGAUAAUCCCCGUUAAACCUCACCCUUUCUUGUUUUUCCCGCCUAUAUACCACCGUCGCAAGCUCACCCUAUGAAGGCCCGUUUAGUGAGCCCAACUGGUACUACCCGCCACGUCAGGUCGAGGUGUAGCGCAUGAAAGGGGAAGAGAUGGGCUACAUUCUCUGGUACAGAGAACUACGGAAGACUAUAUUGAAACAUAUACCUGAAGGAGGAUUUAGCAGUAAGCAGAAAAUAGAGUGUUCUGCUGAAGCUGGCCCUAAAGCGCGUACACACCGCCCGUCACUCUCUCCGAGCUAAACAACUCAACUAAUUAAAAACUUAUAACUGCAAAGGGGAGGCAAGUCGUAACAUGGUAAGUGUACCGGAAGGUGUACUUGGAACAAC
rnacentral:ncRNA from 1 species